rnacentral:sRNA from 1 species
GUGGAAUGUUUUUUUCAUUCUGUGUUAACGUUAUCCUUAAACUGUAAGAUUCAACAAAGCAUCUUGUAUUAAACUGUCAUUCUGUAAAUAUGUAUGAUAUGUUACGACUUGAACUCUCCUGGAUAUUAUUUUAGAAAUAUUCAAAUGUACAUGUAAGUAAUAAUUGUAGUAUAUUUGCUUUUAUUUUGCAUGUUUAUUAAUAUUCAUCUACAUGUACUUAUCAUCGAGAAAUAGCCAAUUUUAAUCAUUAGGAUAAGAUGGGGUUUUGAAUUGUUGUUCAGAUAUUUACAUCGCAUAAAACAAAUAAGUAUC